rnacentral:misc_RNA from 1 species
AAGUCGUAACAAGGUUUCCGUAGGUGAACCUGCGGAAGGAUCAUUAACACGUAUCCAACGUUAACCCCCCGUGAACCUUCAUUAUGCUGGUUGUGCGCCAUCGUAUCGUAGCAAUCCCUGGUAAAUCAUCGCCGAACAGUUUUGAUUCAGGGACUUCCUCAAAGAGUGUGCAUGUUGCGCGAGGCAAGUGGCCUGGCAUUCCCAAGCAGUUAAUGUCUGAAAGUGUCAUUAGCUGUGUAAGGAUGACGCAGUAACGAUCGUUGGAGGCCGACACGGCCGACGACCGGGUCACCGGGCGCAAGCCCCUUUAUCACCACUUAAUGCAUGACAGACGCGCCAGCGCUUAAUUGUGCGGCGACCAAAAACCGAACAACUGUUAACAAUGGAUAUCUUGGUUCUC